rnacentral:rRNA from 1 species
UACGGGGGGGGCAAGCGUUGUUCGGAAUUACUGGGCGUAAAGGGCUCGUAGGCGGCCAACUAAGUCAGACGUGAAAUCCCUCGGCUUAACCGGGGAACUGCGUCUGAUACUGGAUGGCUUGAAUCCGGGAGAGGGAUGCGGAAUUCCAGGUGUAGCGGUGAAAUGCGUAGAUAUCGGGAGGAACACCAGUGGCGAAGGCGGCUUCCUGGCCUGUUCUUGACGCUGAGGCGCGAAAGCUAGGGGAGCAAACGGG